UAGCCCAGCGGUCAGGGUGUUUGACUCCCAGCCAAAAGGUUCUGGGUUUGAACCCCAAUGUCC
rnacentral:tRNA from 1 species